rnacentral:rRNA from 1 species
UACAGAGGUGCCGAGCGUUAGGCGGAAUCACUGGGCUUAAAGCGCGUGUAGGCGGGUCGUUAAGUGUCCGCGUGAAAUCCCACGGCUCAACCGUGGAACGGCCGGGCAUACUGGCGACCUUGAGGCAUUCAGGGGCGAGCGGAACAAACGGUGGAGCGGUGAAAUGCGUAGAUAUCGUUUGGAACGCCGACGGUGAAAACAGCUCGCUGGGAAUGUCCUGACGCUGAGACGCGAAAGCCAGGGGAGCGAACGGG